GCCAGCAGCCAUAUCACCCUGCAAUUCACAACUGGCAACCCACUGAAGCUAAGCAGGUGUGAGCCUGGUCAGUACCUGGAUGGGAGACCUCCUGGGAGGUGUUAGUGAGGCCAGCA
rnacentral:rRNA from 1 species